rnacentral:misc_RNA from 1 species
GAUGAAGAACGCAGUGAAAUGCGAUAAGUAAUGUGAAUUGCAGAAUUCAGUGAAUCAUCGAAUCUUUGAACGCACCUUGCGCCCUUUGGCUAUUCCGAAGGGCAUGCCUGUUUGAGUAUCAUGAACAUCUCAACUCCUCGCGGUUUGCCCGUGACGAGCUUGGACCUUGGGGGUCUUGCCGGCCUGCGGGUCGGCUCCUCUCAAAUGAAUCGGCUUGCCGGUGUUUGGUGGCGUCACAGGUGUGAUAACUAUCUACGCUUGUGGUUUUCCGCCAGGUAACCUCCAGCGAUGGGGGUUCACUGGAGCUCACAAAUGUCUCUCCUCGGCGAGGACGGCUUUUUGAACGUUUGAUCUCAAAUCAGGUAGGACUACCCGCUGAACUUAAGCAUAUCAAUAAGCGGAGGA